rnacentral:rRNA from 1 species
CCUACGGGCGGCUGCAGUGGGGAAUAUUGCACAAUGGGCGCAAGCCUGAUGCAGCCAUGCCGCGUGUGUGAAGAAGGCCUUCGGGUUGUAAAGCACUUUCAGCAGGGAGGAAGGCGUUAAGGUUAAUAACCUUGGCGAUUGACGUUACCCGCAGAAGAAGCACCGGCUAACUCCGUGCCAGCAGCCGCGGUAAUACGGAGGGUGCAAGCGUUAAUCGGAAUUACUGGGCGUAAAGCGCACGCAGGCGGUCUGUCAAGUCGGAUGUGAAAUCCCCGGGCUCAACCUGGGAACUGCAUUCGAAACUGGCAGGCUAGAGUCUUGUAGAGGGGGGUAGAAUGCCAGGUGUAGCGGUGAAAUGCGUAGAGAUCUGGAGGAAUACCGGUGGCGAAGGCGGCCCCCUGGACAAAGACUGACGCGCAGGUGCGAAAGCGUGGGGAGCAAACAGGAUUAGAUACCCGGGGAGUC